AUUGAACGCUGGCGGCAUGCCUUACACAUGCAAGUCGAACGGUAACAGGUCUUCGGAUGCUGACGAGUGGCGCACGGGUGAGUAAUACAUCGGAACGUGCCCGAUCGUGGGGGAUAACGAGGCGAAAGCUUUGCUAAUACCGCAUACGAUCUACGGAUGAAAGCGGGGGAUCUUCGGACCUCGCGCGGACGGAGCGGCCGAUGGCAGAUUAGGUAGUUGGUGGGAUAAAAGCUUACCAAGCCGACGAUCUGUAGCUGGUCUGAGAGGAUGAUCAGCCACACUGGGACUGAGACACGGCCCAGACUCCUACGGGAGGCAGCAGUGGGGAAUUUUGGACAACGGGCGAAAGCCUGAUCCAGCCAUGCCGCGUGCAGGAUGAAGGCCUUCGGGUUGUAAACUGCUUUUGUACGGAACGAAAAGCCUCUUUCUAAUAAAGAGGGGUCAUGACGGUACCGUAAGAAUAAGCACCGGCUAACUACGUG
rnacentral:rRNA from 1 species